rnacentral:rRNA from 1 species
GACGAACGCUGGCGGCGUGCCUAAUACAUGCAAGUCGAACGAAGCUGUUUUAACUGGUGCUUGCACCGACUUAGACAACUGAGCGGCGAACGGGUGAGUAACACGUGGGUAACCUGCCCCAAAGCGGGGGAUAACAUUUGGAAACAGAUGCUAAUACCGCAUAACCACAGAAACCACAUGGUUUCUGUGUCAAAGAUGGUUUCGGCUAUCACUUUGGGAUGGACCCGCGGCGUAUUAGCUAGUUGGUAAGGUAAUGGCUUACCAAGGCAAUGAUACGUAGACGAACUGAGAGGUUGAUCGGCCACAUUGGGACUGAGACACGGCCCAAACUCCUACGGGAGGCAGCAGUAGGGAAUCUUCCACAAUGGACGAAAGUCUGAUGGAGCAACGCCGCGUGAGUGAAGAAGGUUUUCGGAUCGUAAAACUCUGUUGUCAGAGAAGAACGUGUGCGAGAGUAACUGCUCGUGCAGUGACGGUAUCUGGCCAGAAAGCCACGGCUAACUACGUGCCAGCCGCCGCGGUAA